CUAGCAUCAUUAACCAAAAUAUAGAUGAAGGCAUGUGAUGAGACAUGCCUGAUUACGUCAGUCACUCCCAACAACGUCCCUCAACAAGGAUUAGGGUUCCUUCGUAGGCAUGCAUCCACGGUGCGGAGCAAGUGUCUACGUCAAGUACUCAAGGCAACACCUGAGAAUCGCCGAUUCCAGGGGUGAAUCACCGACUCCAGAUAGGGCACUCGGGUCUGGUAGACCGAGGACCUGACCACAAGGGAGUCGGCGACUUCACCUCUGAAUCGGCGACUCCCAUACCUGAGUCGCCGAUUCUCAGCCGUUACUUGGGAGGGCCCACGUCAUUAUGACACCCUUAAUUGGACACCAUAAUGGAGUGGACCCCACGCUAAUGAAUGGAAAAACGGCCCCAGGACCCUAUAAAAGGGUCUUUGGGGGUCCUCCACUCCCAAGUCAUUCACCCUUGACUCACACUCCACACUAGAGCAACCAAGGAGCCCGAGUCGUCGAUUCCCCUCCACUUCUGCAGGUAUUUGACGUAGAGCGCGCGUCGUGGACUCCAAAGCCACCGGCCUUCCUCGUAACCCCGCGAGCCUACUGGUAGCAGAUUUCGUGCUUCAUCAGCAUGCAUAAAAAUCCAUCCACAAAUGGGACAUCGCGUACUAAACAACAUGUAUAAACUUAUAGAAAUUACGUAUAAAUCUUGUCGAAUUUGCAUAAGACAUGUAUAAGGACCCAUUAACAUAAGUAGCAUCAAAACACAUAAAAAUCAUAUGCAAAACAUGUAGGAAACUAUAGAAACUAUAUAAAAAGGUAUAUAAAAGUAUACGUAAAAAUCCAGUAACACGUAGAACGAUAAACACAUCAAAACAAGUAUAGAUAAACAUGUAGAAAACCAUGUAUAAAUCUUGUCGAACUUGUAUAAGAAAUGCAUAAGGAUUUAUUAUCGUGAGUAGCAUCAAAACACAUAAAAAAAAACCUAUGCAAAAACGUGUAUAAAACUAUGUGCAAACCAUAUAAAAGGUAUCUAAAGUAUGCACAAAAAUCCAGCAACGCCUAGAGCAUUAAACACCUCAAAACAAACAUCGAUAAACAUGUAAGAAACCAUGUAUAAAGCUCGUCAAAAGGAAUAGAAGUACAUGGAUAAAGAUCCAUCAUGAUGUGUAGUACUAAAAAAUGUAAAACAAUAUGCAAAAACUUAUAUAAAAUUAUGUGUAGAUCAUAUAAAAAGUAUAUAAAAGUAUGCAUAAAAAUCCAGCAACAUAUAAAAUAUCAAACGUAUCAAACAACCAUGUAUAAACAUAUAGAAAACUAUCAAAUCUUUCAUAAAAACGUGGAGAACUAGACUUAUUCUUACACAUAUUCACUAUCAUUCCUAAAGGAUAAACUAUCAAAGAAAGCUACUAUGAUUUCCGUACCUUUCUUUUUCCUAACUUUUCUCCUAGCUUUAGCUCCUAGCUCCGAACCGUGCCCUCCCUCUUCU
rnacentral:lncRNA from 1 species